ACAAGGAGUGGUUGCGAGAUAGGAGGUUUCCCCACUGUGAAAGAUCAUCACGUACUUCCCAAGCUCUGAAUGCGUGAAGAGUGAGGUGCGCGAGGCAUACAUGGGUGGCGGAUGACAUCAUUUUCCACACUGGGGCUCUGCUGCUGCACUCUGAAAGAUUCAUUUCUGAAUGGAGAGACGCUUCGGGUCUCCUGUACCACUCUCAAAGGCCUGAAGGCCAGGAAGACCAGACCAGUCCUCCCAGGGGUCUUCCAGGAUGUCAGGAACGGGGAGGGUAGAGCUUCAGAGGGCUGCAGGUAGAACUGGACCUUCUGCCAGCUCUGAGCAGGUGAUACACUUGGGAUGCAGAAAUGCCACCUGCUCUUGGCCGUCAGCACAGAACCCCACCCACCCACCAGACCACAGAAGGAGGGAACUGGAAUCCAGGUGGUCUGUCUCUUGUUAUACAAGGAUGCUGGAGCUCUGCAUCAAGGUGGCUGAAGAGGCUCUGGAGGGCCAAGGAUGGAAGGUGGCCCCAUGGCACUCAGCCACAGUCUCCAAACCCAACAGGCAAUGAAUUUCCCAGCUACAGCUACAGUCAGCAACACUGAGUCAACAAAGGGACCAGCCUAAUUGUUCUAUGAAAAUUUUGCCUACAAAAAUCUACUUAAGAUAAUGCAUUUGAGGUUUAGACUUGUUAUAGCCUCUAUGAGUACUUUACUCCUAUGGCUGACCAGUGUUCCAUUUUAUUUUUAGACAUACUGCCUUGUGUUUAUUUAUUCAUCCACUGACAUUGACAUCCGAGUGAUGUCCACUUUUUUGAUUACUGUAAAUAGCACUGCUAUAAACAUUGGUGUACGAGUUUUUAUUUGGAAACCUGCUUUCAAUUCUCUUGGGUAUAUACCUAGAAGUACAAUUGCUAUGCAAAGUCAAGGCAGUUAGACACAAAAAACUACAUGUCGUAUGAUUUCAUUUAUGUGAAAUCUCCAGAACAGGCAAAUCCACAGAUACAGAAAACAAAUUUGUGGUCUCCAGGGACUAGAGAUGGGGGAAAUGGGAGUGACUGGAUAAUGGAUACAGAGUUUCCAUUUUGGGUAAUAAAAAAUCAUUCUGUAACUAAUGGUGGUGCUGUACAACAUUGAGAAUGUACACAGUUCUCUGACUUGAAAACUUUAAA
rnacentral:lncRNA from 1 species